rnacentral:rRNA from 1 species
GGGUUGUGAGGUUAAGCGACUAAGCGUACACGGUGGAUGCCCUGGCAGUCAGAGGCGAUGAAGGACGUGCUAAUCUGCGAUAAGCGUCGGUGAGGUGAUAUGAACCGUUAUAACCGGCGAUUUCCGAAUGGGGAAACCCAGUGUGUUUCGACACACUAUCAUUAACUGAAUCCAUAGGUUAAUGAGGCGAACCGGGGGAACUGAAACAUCUAAGUACCCCGAGGAAAAGAAAUCAACCGAGAUUCCCCCAGUAGCGGCGAGCGAACGGGGAGGAGCCCAGAGCCUGAAUCAGUGUGUGUGUUAGUGGAAGCGUCUGGAAAGGCGCGCGAUACAGGGUGACAGCCCCGUACACAAAAAUGCACAUAUUGUGAGCUCGA